rnacentral:rRNA from 1 species
CUGGCUCAGGAUGAACGCUGGCGGCGUGCCUAACACAUGCAAGUCGAACGAAGCAUAUCUAACGGAGAUUCGUCGAAGCUGGAUAUGACUUAGUGGCGGACGGGUGAGUAAUGUAUGAGCAACCUGCCUUUCAGAGGGGGACAACAGUUGGAAACGACUGCUAAUACCGCAUAACGUAUUUGGGUGGCAUCACCUGGAUACCAAAGGAGCAAUCCGCUGAAAGAUGGGCUCAUAUCUGAUUAGCUUGUUGGCGGGGUAACGGCCCACCAAGGCGACGAUCAGUAGCCGGACUGAGAGGUUGAACGGCCACAUUGGGACUGAGAUACGGCCCAGACUCCUACGGGAGGCAGCAGUGGGGAAUAUUGGGCAAUGGGCGAAAAAGCCUGACCCAGCAACGCCGCGUGAAGGAAGAAGGUCUUCGGAUUGUAAACUUCUUUUAUGAGGGACGAAGGACGUGACGGUACCUCAUGAAUAAGCCACGGCUAACUACGUGCCAGCCGCCGC